UGCAAACAUGGUGACUUACUAUCAAUGCAAACUUCAUGGUCGGAGCAUAACCCAGCUCGAAGAUUUUGGUCUUGUCCACGCUAUCGUGAUGAUGCGUGCAACUUCUUUAGAUGGAGGGAUCGAGAAGAAGUUGAUAUACGAUCCAAGUACGUUAUUCCGAGAUUAGCAAAGAGAAUUAAGGAGUUGGAAGAAAUAUUGACAUCUUAUGAAAGUCGUGUUGAAAGUAACCAAGUCAUGAUGAAGGA